rnacentral:rRNA from 1 species
UAAUACGGAGGAUGCAAGCGUUAUCCGGAUUCAUUGGGUUUAAAGGGUGCGCAGGCGGAUUAGUAAGUCAGUGGUGAAAGCCUACAGCUUAACUGUAGAACUGCCGUUGAUACUGCUAAUCUUGAGUGUAGUUGAGGUAGGCGGAAUGUGUCAUGUAGCGGUGAAAUGCUUAGAUAUGACACAGAACACCGAUCGUGAAGACAGCUUACCAAGCUACAACUGACGCUCAUGCACGAAAGCGUGGGGAUCAAACAGGAUUAGAUACCCUGGUAGUCCACGCUGUAAACGAUGGACACUCGCUGUUGGCGAUACACUGCCAGCGGCUGAGCGAAAGUAUUAAGUGUCCCACCUGGGGAGUACGAUCGCAAGGUUGAAACUCAAAUGAAUUGACGG